rnacentral:lncRNA from 1 species
AAAUACCAAACUGCAUAAACGAAUCACACUUCUUUUCUCCCAAAUUUUCAAACCCUAGCGUCCCAACCUUGUUUUCUACUGAAUCCCCCCAGUGACUGCGAGUGCCGAGAAGACUCCACCAGAGUAGAUUCCAGAAGAACUCUUCAUCUUCAAUCUGCGGGUACUUAUUGAUAGAUAAAUAUAUGUAUAAAAUAAUUCAUGAUCGUCCCUCAUAUUAAUCUCCAAAUCUCCAAUCGAUUAUUUCCCCAAAAUAAUUUAAAAUUAGUCAUAAAUCAUAUAUCAUAAUGUAUACAUUGUAUAUUUAAAACAGUUUAUUGUUUUUUUAAAACAGCACAUGAUCCUCAAUCGAUUAUUUCCAAAAUCAAAUUAAUUUUUUUAAAUUACUCAUAAACAUAAUCAUUCAUCAUAAUUAGGGGUGGGCGUGGGGUGGGUCAAACCAGACCCAAACACGUCGGGGUCGGGUUUGGGUCGAUAUUUUCGGUCAUGAAACCCGAUGUGAACGACCCGAACACGAGUAUUUUUUACCCGAUUUUUUGGGUCGGAUUCGGGUUUGGUUCGAACCAAACCCGACUCACUCGAAACCCGAAAAAAUUUAUAAAAAAAUUAUUAAAAUAUAAAUAACUAAUAUAAUUCUAUAAUUUAAACUUUAAUUUAAUUUCUAUCUCUUCGCCGUCGCCGGACCUCUCCAUCUUCACAAAUCCUCUCCAUUUUCACAAUCUAUUUUAUUUGAUUUUUAUAAAAUUUGAAAAUUAUUUAAACAAAAAGAUUUUUAUUCAAAAUAUUCAAUUAAUUUAUUAAAUCCGAGCCCGAUAUCUAAACCGGGUUCGGGUUUACUAUUUUUUGACUUGCCCGGGUUUUGACCCGAACCCGAUUUGAAAACUCGGGUUCGGGUCUAGGGAAACCGACCCAUGACCAAUCCUAAUCAUAAUACAUACAUCAUUGCUUUGUAUAUUUGAAAAUUAAAAUAGUAAAGUGAAUUUUAAAAAUAGUACAUUGAAUUUUUAAAACAAUACAUCAUAUUUUCUGACAUUCAUUUCCAUUCACCAAUAAAUUAUUUCCUCAAAUCAACUAAAAAUUUAAAAUUAGUCAUAAUCAUACAUCAUGAAUUUAAAACAAUACACUGAUCCUUACAUUUAAAAUUAGUCAUAAUCUUAUCAAGGAUGAUUUGUCCGCACCUUGAUGACAUAAAGCGUUGAAUGAAGAUUUUAGAUUUCUUCUAAAUGUUUAAUGGCGUUCUUAUUUCUUAAAAAAAAAUAAUGGAGCUGAUAAAGCAUUUCCCCCUAGUUUACAAUUAUACGUUUUCCAAAAAAGUGAAUACACAUUGAUAUCUAUUUAUCUUAUAUGAUUUAAUAUCAAGAUAUUAUACGUUUACAUUGUUUUUUAACUUGUAUCUUGAGUGAAUUGGUCGGGUUUUGCCUUCACCCAUAAUAUAUAAGAACAUUAAGACAAAACUAGCUGCAAUAAAUUUAUAUAAUUAAUUCAUUUUCAUUGUUACUGUUGUGAUUCAUUUAUUGUAGAGAGUUGAGUGAGUUGGAUGAAGCGUGAGUCGGAGCGACGCUGGGGAUUAGAGGCGACGGUGAGGAGUCGUUGGGAGAGAAGAUGAAUCGCUUAGGAAACCCUAGGGUUUUAGUUUUUGAUUUAGUUUUGAAAAAAGUGAAUAUAAAAUAUUACAACAUUGGUUUAUAUACUAACUCCUAAUGGGCCUUGAGUAUGGGCCAACUUAACCUUACUAACAAGACUCUUAACUUUAUUUAAUUAGGAUUAGAAUUAAUCCUUCAUGCUUCAAUACCCCCCUUCAAGCUGAAGAGUGUAUAUCAUAGAGUCCCAGCUUGGGUAGUAAAUUCCUGAGUGAUUCCAAGCUUGCUGGUUUUGUAAGAAUAUCUGCAAUUUGAUCAAUUGAUGCAACAUGAUGUAAUUUAAAUAGUCCUGCUUGUAAGUGAUCACGAACUAGAUGACAAUCAAUCUCAAUAUGUUUAGUACGUUCAUGAAAGACUGGGUUGGAUGCAAUAUGGAUGGCAGCCAUGUUAUCACAAUGUAAUGUUGUUUCCUCUGUGGGUUUGACCUGCAAAUCAUUUAAAAAAUAAUGCAACCACAUGAUCUCACAAACUGUUGAGGCCAUAGCUCUGUAUUCACUCUCAGCAGAUGACCUGCUAAUCGUGGAUUGUUUUUUUGACUUCCAAGCAAUGGCUGAACCACCCAAAAGAAUUGAGUAACCUGUUAUGGAUUUUCUAGUGUUGGGACAGUCAGCCCAAUCUGCAUCACAGUAGGCCUCAAGUUUUAAUGGUGCAUCUCUUCUAUAUAAUAUUCCUUUUCCAGGAGCACCUUUGAUAUAUUUUAAAAUUUUCAUUGCUGAAUUGAAAUGAGAUUGCAGUGGAUUUGCAAGGAAUUGACUGAAAUGGCUAACAGAGAAUGCAAUGUCUGGCCUUGUUAUUGUGAGAUAUAGCAAUUUGCCAAUUAGUUUCCUGUAAAUUGAGGGAUCCUUCAUUGGAGAAUCACCUUCUGAAUUUUUGUAAUUGUGAGACGUUGGUAUUUUUGAUGGGGAAGACCCCAAUUGAUUAAAAUCAUGAAGAAUAUCUAAAGCAUACUUCCUUUGGGACAAGUAAAUCCCUUUGUCUGAGUGAGAUACCUCAAUUCCCAAGAAAUAUUUAAGUUUCCCCAAAUCUUUAAUGUGGAAUUGAUUGUGUAGAUGAUUUUUCAGAUUUUGGAUUUCUUCUUCACUAUUACCAGAUAUGAUUAGAUUAUCCACAUAUAUUAGCAAGCAUGUGUAUGAGUCAUUUUUUGAUUUGAAGAAUAAUGUGUAAUCAGAAUGUGAUUGGGUGUACCCAAAAUUUGACAGAGAUUUGGUGAGUUUUUCAUACCAGUUCCUGUUGGCCUGCUUUAGACCAUAUAAAGAUUUUUUAAGUAAAUAGACAAAAACUUUUGUAUCGACAUUUUAAAAAUGAAGUUAUAAUAGAUACUAAAACGAGUUAUAUAAAACUUCAUAAACCUCCACGGAGACACGCGUAGUACUAAGUGAAGGGUAGAUUCUUUCUGAAUGUUGUAAUCCGCAAGGGUGCGGCCAUCUUCAAGCUGCUUUCCAGCAAAGAUCAACCUCUGCCGGUCAGUGCUUGCCUGUUAAGGGGGAAAGGGGGAUCUUUUUAUUCUUUAUUGAAUAUAUUGUAAUACUGUGUUUACUGGGCAAGGCUUGCAUCAUUUCUAAUGAAAUUUUACUUCAUAAAAAAUAAUAGAAAUGCAGGGUAUCUCUUCUGAAAAGAGGUUGAUUUUUGCUGGGAAGCAACUUGAGGAUGGUCGUACCCUUGCAGAUUAUAAUAUUCAGAAGAUAUCAACACUUGUUUUUUUUUGAAACAAAAUUUUUUUUUUGAAACAAAUGAUCGUGCAUUAUCAAACGACCUUGCACAUGUACUUAUAUGAAUGGGUGGAUUUAUAUAUAUGCUUUUUAGAUUAUAUUCAUAUCAAUCCUCAAGGAAAGCUUUAUUUUUUACCUAUUUAUUUUUCAAUCCAUAGGUGUCAAACGAAGACAGCCAAUGCAUUUCAAUGGAAGAGAUUCACCAUCUUUUACACACCAAUGAUUUUAUGAGGCUAUGAUUUUAUUAACUAAGCUAUUUAUAGAUAAAAAAAUCAUUAACCAGUAAUGUUUGUUAGGCAUUUCGAUGGAAGAGAUUCAACAUCGAUCUUUUACACACCAAUGAUUUUUAUGAGGCUAUGAUCUUAUCAACUAGGCUAUUUACAGAUAAAAAAUCAUUAACCAAUAAUAUUUGUGUUAAUCAUUAACACAAAUUUACCAUCUUAUACACACCUAUGACUCUAUGAUCUUUUUAAUAAAUAUCGACUUCUUGUGUUAUAAUGAUAUAUAUGAAUCAUUCAUUUUUAAAAUGAC